GCAAUGAAUUUUUGCUAGAACUCGGUUCUCGACUCGCAGCGAAAUUUGCUUCCAAAUAGUACGGACGUAGACAUCGGGGCCCUCUGAGGGACUGUAGAGUGUGGAGCAUUCCGCGAGCUUCGGUGUGUCCUCCGGUCGUCGCGCGUGGUUGACCGCGUCAAUCGAUUGGUUCCCAGUUUUCCUCUUUGCCCUCUCGCAAAAAAAAACAUCAAGACUCAAAGCAGCUUACUGGAGUGCGAACCACUUGUAUGGAAUGAAAAAAAAAUAUGAAUGAAUGAAUGAAACACCGCAAACAAAGAGGUCCGGCAUGACGGUUCUAUCGACUAGUUGUGGGAAAAGUUUUCCUUGUAGUAUAUACAGGGUUAGAAGUUGGGUCACAACAAUGUCUGGGAAUGUUUUUUAAGUAGAGAGCGUGGAGAAGCUUAUGGUGUGACAGUGUGACUCACGGCAGUAGGGAACAUAGUUGGAGUAGUGUGACGAGAAAGUUGACCAAACCGUGCGUUUGGAUCGAGCGUAGUACAUCGACUUCGCAUCACAUGUUCGCCCAGUUUCCCCUUCCAAAGCACCACUUAACCGAAGAGUAGUGUACCAAACGGCUGCAGCAGGAACAGAAGGACAAUCUGCGACAGCGACAAGGCGUACUAAUGGGCAACAACAACAACAUCAGCGGCGACUAGCGAGGACCGACCCAGUGCACUUAAAACGGUAGCGCUCCUUUAAACGAAACUCUGUGUAACGAGAGACCACAUGUGCGUGUUUUGUACGGAAGGGGACCAGCCCGGCUGUGGGUGUGAUUAAGUGUACAAGCGUGUAUGUGUGUUUUGUUUAUCAUACCGAAGCCAUCCCCAAGGCUAACGACAGGCAACGGCAAUCCUGCGUGUGGGUGGGAAGGGGAAUGUGCAUCGUCGCCGGCGGGGUGCGCGUUGCGGUGAAGGGAAGCUAAUUGCUGUUUCCCCAUCAAGGACUCUCCGCAGUGUAGUGCGGUGCGGUGACAGCGUUUUGAAGGAAAUCGAUUGUUUUCCUGGUUCAUUAUGCUGAUUGUCUGACAAGAUUGAUCAGAGGAGAAAGCGACGGGUGUAGAUACGCAUCAUAUUGUAGUUGGGAAUAGCCUUCCAGAGGUGGUCGUACUCAGUCCGGCUAUAAGGAGAAUGGAAACAUACGGUGGGCUAUUAGUGAUAUAAUCAAGGGAGGCUUGCGAGGCUAUAGUUUGUAUGGCCAGUGUUUUAUUGGAAGAGUGAGUUCAUCGGUAGAAGGAAUACUCAUCAAGUGAAAUUAGAUCCUGUUAGAUUUCAAUCGUAUCAAAGAAGAUAAUACAUCAGAGCUCACAAGGUAAUUGGCCCACUCGAUGAAGUUAUUUUAUUACUUGGCUAGGUUCAAUUUUGUACAAGAAGUUUUUUUUUUUACAUAUUUUAUCGACUCUCUGAGGUGUGUUCAAAUAUCUUCAUAGUUCACAGUGUAUGAAGAAAUGAUUAUUCUGAAUCCAUUUAUUUAUUAUCAAAUUUCCUGAAUAAAUGUUCCUACUUGAAGGCAUUAAUAACGGUGGUUUUUGUUUUAACACCGUGUAUAGGAAUUUUGUAUCUUGUUAAAAGGGUGUCCACUUAUCCAUUCCAACCCUCACGUAUUCCAUUCAAAAGGUGCCAAACAAACGAUUCCGGAAUUUAAUUUCGUUAGAUUGGGUUUUUCGAGGCAUUACCCCGCACCCAAACGUUUUUAUCGUUCUUGAGCUAGUGAAUAUGGUUAAAAAAAUUUAAUAUAUUUUUCAUAAUCGCCAGGCUCAUACGUGUAGCAAAUCCUCCUUCGGAAUAUUAAAUUUAUCCAUGCACAAAAAUUCUAAUAUUCUCGCGGUGACUGCGGAUUCUGCGCUUAUGAAUGCUCAGUCCCCAGGAAGUCAUGCCAUAAGACAAUUCCUGUGAUCGUAAAAACUGAUACUAACCCACCGAAUCUCAUAUCAGUUCCGGUGUAGGAAUUUUCUGCACUCCUGCUGGUUCCGGCUAUAUUGGAAGCGCGUCUCAAUAUAAUUUAACGUGCCAUACAGCGGCAUAGCCCAGCAAACCACCCCACCCUCGCUCGUCCGCUAGAGUCGCGGAAUGUUUCAGCCAGCAUAACGCAGCAUCCGAUAUCGCAUGAGAUGGUGAUGGAACUUAUGACCAGCUCGUCUAGCUCUAACGCGUCUCGUAUGGAUCGGCAUCGUAUCUCGUCAUAGUAGUAGCAGAAGCAGCAGUAUCGCCAUCAGCAACGAGGCAGCAUUUCGUUACUGGAGCAUGAGUUAUAGUUUUCAAUAUUAGAUUUUACUGCUCGGUAUAACAACGCAAUCGUGCUGCAAAUCGUUCCCGAGCAAUAAUGAACAUUUCUCUUACGCAUAGGUUCUGCAAAUGCUAGUUACUUCAUGCGCGUUGAAUCAUACUCGAAGUAUGUUGAGAUUUUCUGAGCCACAACAUUACCAACACGGUAUAUUGAUUUCCAUAUCAUAUCAAGAACACAACGAAUCUUAAGCCUAAGCCUUAAGUCUAAUACGUAACAUACUUUAUAUUCUCAUGCUCUAUUUUGUAUUAAUAUCGUAUAUUACAAUAGUUAAAAGCGAUACGCACUCAUUACCCGAUAGCACACUCCCAAAAUACUAAUGCUUGCAUUAUUGCGUUUCAGAACAGGAAUCACCCAUGUUCAGAAUAUAAGGGUUGAGAUUCUCUUCAUACAGCAAUGACAAUUACAUCAUGUUGCAUUCACUCCUCCAGGUGAAAUCAACUACAUCUACAGAAAUGGUCUCUCUCAUGACCAAGAGCCAGCCCUAUUCAAAUGUACCGCUGUACCAUCGAUAAAGAUGAGCUGUUCAGGUCAUGCAGGGCAAGAAUCGGUAGAAUUUCAAUUUGUUUUAGUAGGAAUAGAACACCGAUGCUAUUACUUCCUUAGUGAUAGAAAUAAUUUCGUACCGGCAAAAUUUGCAUCUUAUAUGGAUCUAAGCACAUUGGCGUAGUUCAAUUGGUUGCUGGUUGAUCUGAGACCCAAAUUGUAAUCACACUGUAAUCUGGAGCAAAAUUUACCAUUUCUAAAGGUUUUCCUUCAACAAAAUAUGAGGUAAAUAAAAUAUUAUCCACCCGUGGCAGCAAAAAAAAAAUCCAUAAGAAAUACUUUAAGUUCAUGUUAUUUUUGAAUGAUAAGGGGAAUUCUAUGUUUAUUAAUUGCUUAUACCCUGAUUUAUUUUUUGACAAUUUCUUAUUAUUCUUAUUAUAUAUAAAUCUAAAAACCUAAAAUUCUAAAAAUCUUAAAAUCUAAAAAUCUAAAUAGGGGGAAAGACGGCUUUGGCAG